UACGUAGGGGGCGAGCGUUGUCCGAAGUUACUGGGCGUAAAGCGCGCGUAGGCGGUUGCUUAAGUGACUGGUGAAAUCCCCGGGCUCAACUCGGGAGGGUCUGGUCAUACUGAGCGACUAGAGUGCGGGAGAGGAGAGCGGAACUCCAGGUGUAGCGGUGAUAUGCGUAGAGAUCUGGAAGAACACCCGUGGCGAAGGCGGCUCUCUGGACCGUAACUGACGCUGAGGUGCGAAAGCCAGGGGAG
rnacentral:rRNA from 1 species